GGUGAACGCUGGCGGCGUGCCUAAUACAUGCAAGUCGAGCGAACAGACGAGGAGCUUGCUCCUCUGACGUUAGCGGCGGACGGGUGAGUAACACGUGGAUAACCUACCUAUAAGACUGGGAUAACUUCGGGAAACCGGAGCUAAUACCGGAUAAUAUAUUGAACCGCAUGGUUCAAUAGUGAAAGACGGUUUUGCUGUCACUUAUGGAUGGAUCCGCGCCGCAUUAGCUAGUUGGUAAGGUAACGGCUUACCAAGGCGACGAUGCGUAGCCGACCUGAGAGGGUGAUCGGCCACACUGGAACUGAGACACGGUCCAGACUCCUACGGGAGGCAGCAGUAGGGAAUCUUCCGCAAUGGGCGAAAGCCUGACGGAGCAACGCCGCGUGAGUGAUGAAGGUCUUCGGAUCGUAAAACUCUGUUAUUAGGGAAGAACAAAUGUGUAAGUAACUGUGCACGUCUUGACGGUACCUAAUCAGAAAGCCACGGCUAACUACGUG
rnacentral:rRNA from 1 species